UCUCCGUUGGUGAACCAGCGGAGGGAUCAUUACUGGAAUCGCAAGAUCCCACAACCCUGUGAACCUACCGAAACGUUGCCUCGGCGGGUGCCCGGCCCCCGCGCCGGGCGCUGCGCCCGCCGGCGGCCCCCUACUCUUGUCUCUGCAGCGUGGCAUCUCAGAGUCCCAGAAAACAAGUAAAAACUUUCAACAACGGAUCUCUUGGCUCUA
rnacentral:misc_RNA from 1 species